UCACCAGGUUCCAGAUGCCAUCAGGAUGCUGGCCAGACUUCCCUGGAUUGAAGACCCCACCAAUGUGUCCUGGAGCUCAGCUUCCCCAGAGACACACCCUACUAGGGAAAGAGAGAGGCAGACUGGGAGUAUGGACCGACCAGUCAACGCCCAUAAGAAGCGGGGAAGCAAUUACAGAAGCCAGACCUUCUACCUUCUGCAACCCACAAUGACCCUGGGUCCAUGCUCCCAGAGGGAUGGAGAAUGGGAAAGCUAUCAGGGGAGGCGGUGGGAUAUGGAGAUUGGGUGGUGGGAAUUGUGUGGAGUUGUACCCCUCCUACCCUAUGGUUUUGUUAAUUAAUCCUUUCUUAAAUAAAAAUAAAUAAAUUAAAUAAAACAAAU